rnacentral:rRNA from 1 species
AUUGAACGCUGGCGGCAUGCCUUACACAUGCAAGUCGAACGGCAGCAUAGAGAGCUUGCUCUCUGAUGGCGAGUGGCGAACGGGUGAGUAAUGCAUCGGAACGUACCGUGUAAUGGGGGAUAACGUAGCGAAGGUUACGCUAAUACCGCAUACGACCUGAGGGUGAAAGCAGGGGAUCGCAAGACCUUGCGUUAUACGAGCGGCCGAUGUCAGAUUAGCUAGUUGGUGAGGUAAAGGCUCACCAAGGCGACGAUCUGUGGCGGGGCUGAGAGGAUGAUCCGCCACACUGGGACUGAGACACGGCCCAGACUCCUACGGGAGGCAGCAGUGGGGAAUUUUGGACAAUGGGGGCAACCCUGAUCCAGCCAUGCCGCGUGAGUGAAGAAGGCCUUCGGGUUGUAAAGCUCUUUCGGCCGGGAAGAAAUCGCACAGGCUAAUACUCUGUGUGGAUGACGGUACCGGCAUAAGAAGCACCGGCUAACUACGUGCCAGCAGCCGCCGUAA